AUUGAACACUGGCGGCAGGCCUAACACAUGCAAGUCGAGCGGAUGAAGGGAGCUUGCUCCUGGAUUCAGCGGCGGACGGGUGAGUAAUGCCUAGGAAUCUGCCUGGUAGUGGGGGAUAACGUCCGGAAACGGGCGCUAAUACCGCAUACGUCCUGAGGGAGAAAGUGGGGGAUCUUCGGACCUCACGCUAUCAGAUGAGCCUAGGUCGGAUUAGCUAGUGGGUGGGGUAAAGGCCUACCAAGGCGACGAUCCGUAACUGGUCUGAGAGGAUGAUCAGUCACACGGGAACUGAGACACGGUCCAGACUCCUACGGGAGGCAGCAGUGGGGAAUAUUGGACAAUGGGCGAAAGCCUGAUCCAGCCAUGCCGCGUGUGUGAAGAAGGUCUUCGGAUUGUAAAGCCCUUUAAGUUGGGAGGAAGGGCAGUAAGUUAAUACCUUGCUGUUUUGACGUUACCAACAGAAUAAGCACCGGCUAACUUCGUG
rnacentral:rRNA from 1 species